AGAAAUUAGAUAUAAAUGUUGUCUAAACACUCCUAAUCCAUCUCUAACUCUUAUAAUUACUCAAAUGCAUU
rnacentral:sRNA from 1 species